rnacentral:tRNA from 1 species
GCUGGCGUAGCUCAGUAGGAAGAGCAGCUGCUUCGUAAGCAGCUUGCCGAGGGUUCGAUCCCUUCCGCCAGCUCCA